GUUAGGGUUAUUAUGUUGAGUUAAUGACAGAAUGGGUUAAUGAUGGGUAAAAUAAGCAAGUUAUUAUUGAGUAAAUAAUAUCUAAUUCAUGAGAAGGGUUAAUUUGGAAUACAUAAGAUGGGAGUACAUCAUUUAUGCUUAUGUACAUGUAUUAUUUUGUGUUUCAGUUGAGAACUAUGUUUUAAAGCACUGUUUCUUUAAGAAAUACGGUGAUACUUAAAGUUUGUAUGUAAUGCACUUGCAGAAAAUGUGCUUUUGCCUAGCAAGUUAGUAUUAUUUUUUGCUGAUAGGUUGAUGUUUUAUUUGUUCCCACCCUCACGUGUGAGAGUGUGAUUCUGAUUGGAGGAGAAAAAAAAGGUGAACAGAGAGGUACGCACGAGAGUGUUGUUGAGAUGGUGGAGAAGAAAAUGUACAUGUAAACGCUGUAUAAGUUGUUGAAACUUACAUUUCUUCAAAUCGGAGAGUUUAAGGACAUUCAUGAAAGUGUAUGCACGUUACUCUGCACGAGUAUAAGCCGGUUUUCUUUUGUAGUGUUGAGUUCAGUUGUUAAUGUGAGAAUACACGAUAGAUAAUCGGACAUUCAAGUACACUGGACUGCAUUAAAGUUUAUUUUGUUUCAUCUAACAAGUCUUGCUGGAUCAACAAAGACCCAGAUAGCGUUCUAAAUCCCCGAGUGAUUUAGAAUUCCUCUGGCGCCGUGGGACAUGAUCAGCUCAACAGCGUCAGGUGAGCGAGAGAGAGAGAGCGCGUGUUCGAGCUUCGGAGGAGUCUAACGAGAACGCUGAUAAUCAAGGAAUUCAGGUGAUCUUAUUUAAUUUUAUUUGCUCAUUAGAGUGAAGUGGCCAUUUGUUGUUUCACGGCCUCAACGAUCUCUAGCAACGUCCAGGCCUGCAACGGGGAGGGGUUGGGACUUGUGAGGUGUGUGUAUGUGCGUGCGCGCACACGUGUCUAUGUGAGUGGCCACUCAAACGUUAAAACCGGUACUGUUUCAACUAUUGUUUGUGAAACGAGUAUUUAUUGAUAUUAUUUGUUUAUUUGAGAUAUUAAGGAAGUGUUGAUCUGUCAUAAUUGGUUAUUGGAAGUGAUUGUAUAUUUUCUUCAAAGGGGAAAAAAUACACAAGACAAGUGUAUGGUUUAAUUUGAAGUUUAUUGAACAUUUGAUAUUUAAACAUUUAUUUAAACAUUUAUUUAUUUUGUUUUACUGUGUAUAAAUAAACCUAAAGGUUAAUUUUGUUAUACUUACCCAUUUGUGUUGAUUGAAGUCAUUAUACAGUGACAUUUCCUAGCUGACAUAGGGGAGGAUAGCAUUAGUGCAUAGUCGAGAGACACUUUAAGAACCCGGUGCGCUGCUCUGGUUAUAAUCAGAGCAUAGGGGCGCUACACAAUUUGGGGGCUCGUCCGGGAUCAUUAUUCUCUCCCUAAAAUCCUAAAUAUUAAGAUUAAGCAUUCAGUAGAAGAAAAGGGUACUUACUGACUAUUCUUUUAAAGAAUCAAAAUGGCGCUCAAGAGUGAUUCACGUUUGUCUGUUGAACUUUCAAACUGGUGCAAGGAAGCUGUAGUUGAGGAAAGCCAUGCUAUCAUGUUAAUGGGAGUACCUGCAACAACUGAUGUGGCAUGUAUUGAAGAAGCUGUCGAAACUAUAAAAGCAGUAGGCAGAGUGAGAGUUAGAGACUCUAAAAAGGGACAAAGCCCAGAUACUGUGUUGAUCUUGUGUGAAUGCCGUGAAGUGAUAGAUCCUACCCGCAUUCCAGCUGAAUUGCUAAGAGCCGAAGGGGAAGAGACAUGGAGGGUCAUUGUAGCACCUGUUGAUGUACCUGCAUGCGGGUUUUCUGAGAAAUUGGCAAAAUUUCUGCAUGAGGAAGGAAAAUCCAUCACUGACUUGGAAUCUUUAUUUUAUUCAGCCAGUUCCAAUGCUGGUUCACCCGAGUCCAUUAUACGUGCAGUUGGGGACCUUCUGGAAAAAACAAAGCCUUCUGGAGACUCCAAUGCUUAUAGGCGAUUGCGUAUGUUUUCUGGUACUAUUCCUACCCCGUCUGGAGAAGAAAAUCUUGAGAAUUGGAUGGAACAGGCCAGAUUAAUGACCGCCGAAUGUGAGUGUUCAGAAAAAGAAAAGCGACGACGGAUAAUGGAGAGUUUGAAAGGCCCUGCUCUUGACAUUGUGAAGGCGGUAAGGUUUUCAAGUCCUGAGGCUAGUGCUUCACAGUACCUUGAGGCUCUAGAAAAUACCUUUGGAACCUCUGAAUCAGGGGAAGACCUUUACUUUGCUUUCAGGUUACUGAGACAAUUCCCUAGAGAAUCUCUGUCUGACUUCCUGAGACGAAUAGAGAAAUCGUUGACAAAGGUGGUUCAAAAAGGCGGGUUGAUGUCUCACAUGAUGGAUAAGGCAAGGAUUGAACAGCUAAUCAGAGGUGCUGCUUUCGAUUCAGACCUGAUGUUAUUACAGCUGAGGCUACGAGAACGGAAAGACCACCCUCCGACUUUCUUGGAGUUAUUGAAUGAGUUAAAGACAGCUGAAGAGAAUGAACUUGCACGUCGUAGAAUCGGAACGUCAGUGAAAUCAAUAAAUCUGAAAACCGAUGAUAAUCCGGAAUUGGAAGUAGUAAAGCAACUCCGAGCUGAACUUCAGGAGCUAAAAGCCAAUAUGAGAGAUGAUUCAGCCAAAGUUCCUGUUGCAUCCAUGAAGAUAGAUUCUAGAGAAAAACUUGAAAAGCAAAGAGUAGAUACUCAUGGAGAGUCUGAAGUGAAAGAGUUAAAGAAACAAAUUCACAAGUUAAAUAAACAAUUGGAGGUGAUGAGUAUCAGUUCAACUGCUAAGCCUGUUCAAACUAAAACUAGGCUGGACUACAGAGCAAUGCCUUCACGACACAAUGAGAAACCAAUGAAGUCUAAGGAGGAUUUCUUCUGUUACCGUUGCGGGGAAGAUGGACAUAUAGCCACUAAGUGUAACGCACCAGAGAAUACUGGCAAAGUUAUACAAAAGCUGGUGAGAUCCCUCAGAAGGGCUAAAACUGAAGGGAGCAGAUCAAAGGAAGAUCCUGUUGCUUCUUGUGGUCCAGAUUGUUUCUCCAAGAAGGGACUAACUGAUGUCAGAGAGAAGGAAUGUGUGCCUAUGGGUCUAGUGGGACCAGUCUCAACCAUUUCAGUAGAAUUGAAUGGAUGUCCAUGCAGUGCUUUACUUGACAGUGGUUCUCAAGUUACCAUUGUUUUUGAACAGUGGCAUGCCAAGUACUUACCACAGAUUCCCAUUCAACCUUUGACUGGAUUGUCUAUCUGGGGACUAAGUGCCUGUAACUAUCCAUAUAAGGGAUACAUUCUAGUGGAUGUGUCAUUUCCUGAGUCACUUAUUGGAGUGAAAGAAACAGUACCUGUCUUAGCAUUGGUGUGUCCAGAACCACAAGGUCCUCAACAAGUUCCUGUAAUCAUUGGAACCAAUGCAAGUUUUUUCCAAAGACUGAUUUCACUUGGCCAGGAGUCAGGAGUAUCGGAUGCUGCACAUUCUCUAAGGAUUCAGUCAACUGUUUCAAUACCUUGUGUCCAGCAUAAGAAAUGGAAAGAGGAAGUGACUGACUCAGUUGAAGGGAUUGUUACAUGGAUGGGACCUGGAUCCCUAACAAUACCUCAGAAGGGUGAAAAGUAUGUGCAGUGUAAAGUUGAACUCAAGGAACAGAUGAGAGAAGAUAUUCUCCUAGUAGAAGCCACGGAUGAGAACUUAUUACCUGCUGGAGUAUUUGUCCCAUCAUCCGUCCUGUAUUCAUCUGAUAUAGACGUGGAUAACUUCAAAUUGCUUGUGUGCAAUGAGACUGCGAAAGAUAUAACAAUUCCUCCAGGGACUGUGAUGGCAAAUGUUUUCCAUACCGACACUGUUACGGUCGCGCAGGGAGAUCAGACCGCUGUCAGGAAGCUAAAUCCGAAUAUCUUUAACUUUGGCAAUUCUCCAAUACCACCUAAUUGGGAGGAAAGAUUAAGAAAAAAGUUGUCAGCGCGAGGAAACGUGUUUUCUAUAUCAGAAUGGGAUGUGGGAAAAGCAAAAGAUGUGACUCAUACUAUCAGGCUGAAUGAUUGCACGCCUUUCAGGGAGAGAUCUAGGCGUAUUGCCCCAGCAGACAUCGAUGAUGUGCGCCGUCAUCUGAAGGAUUUGCUGGCUGCCGGUAUAAUAAAGGAAUCAAGGAGUCCCUAUGCGUCACCUAUAGUCAUAGCUCGUAAGAAGAGUGGUGCUAUUAGAAUGUGCAUUGAUUAUAGAACUCUGAAUUCCAGAACCGUACCGGAUCAAUAUACAACUCCCAGGAUAGAGGACGCUCUGGAUUGUUUGUCGGGGAGCAAGUGGUUUUCCGUCCUGGACUUAAGGAGUGGUUACUAUCAAAUUGAAAUGGCUGCUGAAGAUAAGGAAAAGACGGCAUUCAUUUGUCCUCUUGGAUUCUACCAAUUCGAGCGGAUGCCGCAAGGGAUAUCUGGAGCUCCAGCAACGUUCCAACGACUGAUGGAGAGGGCAGUUGGAGAUAUGCACUUGCUACAAGUUAUAGUGUAUCUAGAUGAUCUAAUUGUUUUCGGAAGAACACUAGAGGAGCAUGAAGAGAGGUUGAUGAAAGUGCUGGAUCGAUUGGAAGAGUUCGGGCUCAAAGUGUCUGUUGAUAAAUGUCAAUUUUGCCAGCCGGCUGUAAAAUAUGUUGGGCAUAUUGUGUCUGCCGAUGGCAUAACCCCAGACCCGGAAAAGGUGAAGGCUGUAAAUGAAUGGAAGAUACCUCAUGAUCUAAAGUCACUGAGAUCGUUUCUUGGAUUCUGUGGAUUCUAUCGGAGAUUCAUUAAGAAUUACUCCAAGAUAGUACGGCCAUUAACGGAACUGACCAAAGGGUAUGCCCCAGUGAGGAGUAAACAUAAAGUAUUACCUAAAGGUAAAUAUUACCAAGAGCUGGAACCCUUUGGAGAGCGGUGGACUGAGGAGUGUACAGAAGCCUUCCAUACCAUUAUCCAUUGUCUUACUCAUACACCAGUACUAGCCUACGCAGAUCCAUCUAAGCAGUACAUAUUGCACGUGGAUGCCAGCUUACAAGGUCUGGGUGCCGUGUUAAAUCAGGAGUACCCUGAGGGGUUGAGACCAAUUGCAUUCGCCAGUAGGAAGUUGAGUACAGCUGAGCAACGAUAUCCCAUUCAUCAGUUGGAGUUCCUGGCUCUGAAAUGGGCUGUCGUUGACAAAUUCCAUGACUACCUGUAUGGAACAAAAUUCAAAGUAAGGACGGACAACAACCCCCUUACAUAUGUUCUAUCAAGUGCAAAGCUCAAUGCUACUGGACAUAGGUGGUUGGCUGCCUUAGCCACUUAUGAUUUCAGCCUCCAGUAUAAACCUGGUAGUCAGAAUACAGAUGCCGAUGUACUGUCGCGUUAUCCUUUGGAUGCUGGUCAGACCACAGAAUGGAUAGAUAUUCCUAGAUCAGGAGUAAAAGCUAUCUGUACACGUGCUACUAGUACUUACCUGUCUGAUGAGUCGAGUGACAGAUUGGUAGACCAGCUGGGGGUCGAUUCUGAAAGUAUUCCUGAUUUGUAUGUUUGCCCAAUACACUUGGGUACGAACCAUCAAUCUCCAUUGUCUAACUCAGAUUUGAGGUUAGCGCAAGAACAAGAUCCCAUCAUUGGUCCAGUGAUCCUAGAUGUGGAGAAAGGGAAACUUCCCAAUGCUUCAAAGAGUUCUAAUGUUUUGGAGACAUUAUUGAGGCAACAGGGUAAGAAGUUGGCCAUUCGUCAUCAGCUCUUGUACAGAGUAACAAACAACUCUUUUGGGAAAGAGAAAGAGCAGUUAGUCUUGCCGGAAAAAUACCGAAAUGAGGUCUUGAAUUCUCUUCACGAUGAGUCAGGUCACCUAGGGAUUGAGCGAACCACUGAAUUGUGUAAAGACAGAUUCUAUUGGCCACAUAUGACUAGGGAAGUGGAGAAAUAUGUGAAGAAUUGUGGAAGAUGUAUAGCGAGGAAAACUCUGCCACAAAAAUCAGCCUACCUGAAUCAUAUUACAAGUAGUGGGCCAAUGGACCUUGUUUGCAUUGACUUCCUGUCAAUUGAACCAGAUUCAAAGGGAGUUGCCAAUGUACUUGUAGUGACCGACCACUUUACCCGUUAUGCGCAAGCAUAUCCUGCAAGAGAUCAGAAGGCGUUAACGGUUGCAAAAAUCUUAGUAGAGAAGUUCUUUGUACAUUACGGUUUGCCUGCCAGAAUUCAUUCUGACCAGGGCCGUGAUUUUGAGAGCAGACUAAUCAAGGAGUUACUUGGAAUCCUGGGGAUCCGAAAGACGAGAACGUCACCCUACCAUCCUCAAGGAGAUCCCCAACCAGAGCGCUUCAACCGCACUCUUCUAUCCAUGUUGGGUACGCUGGAUGCUGCCAAGAAAGAAAGGUGGAGCCAAAGUGUGAGUCAGUUAGUACAUGUAUAUAACUGUACUAAAAGUGAAGUAACGGGAUAUUCUCCUUACUAUCUAAUGUUUGGAAGAGAAGCUCGUCUACCGAUAGAUGUGCACUUUGGAAAUCCUGUGGAUGGAAAGGGGGGAGCAAAUUAUCAAAAAUAUGUGGAGAGGAUGAAAGAGGAUUUAAGACACGCAUAUAAGUUAUCUUUGCAAAAUGCGCAGAAGACACAGCAGAGGAACAAAAGACUCUAUGAUCAGAGAGUGAAGUUCAGAGUGCUUGAAAAAGGAGAUUGUGUGCUGGUCAAGAAUCUUGCAACGACUGGGAAACAAAAGUUACAAGAUCGAUGGAACUCCGUACCUUACCUUGUCCUGGAGAAGUUGCAAAAUCUGCCUGUGUACAGGGUGAAGCCAAAAGCAGGAACUGGAGGUGUGAGAACUUUGCACCGGGAUCACUUGUUGCCAAUUGGAGAAGAAGUGAGGAUAAACUUACCUGCUGAAAGGGAAGAAGUUCCACGUCACAUGGUGACCAGAUCCAAAACUGUGAAAAGGACACAGAAAAAAACAAUAAGACCUGAAGUGGACCCAGAAAGUUGUAAAUGUGUGGACAUAACUUCUGACAGUGACGACGGUAGUCAUUGUGCAUAUUACCCAGUUGAACAAACAGUGGAUCUUGGAACACUAUCUUUUCCAUCCUAUGAGAGGGAGAAAGUGAAGAGCCCUGCUAGGUCUCAAAAGGAUCCUGCUCAGGUGGAAGUGACUGGAGGAGAUUUGCCACCUGAUGAUGUUGUGGAGAGCGUUUCAGCCCAGAUGCUGGAGAACUUGGGAGAUUCGGUUUCUGAUAACGAAAUUAAUGAAUCAGUGAAUGUUACAAGAGAAGAAGAACAGAGAAGAGUUGGAAAUCGUCCAAGGAGGAUGAUAAAACCAGUGCAGAAACUAAGUUAUGAUGCACUUGGGAAAUCUACUGAUAGACCCUUAACAAUCGUAUAUAGGGGUAUGGUAGUGAAAAUUCAAGAGUCUUCUAAGGUGAAGGGUACUUGCAAUACAUUGUGGUGUCACCCAAUGGCCACAUGUGAACAUUGUGUUAAUGUGCAUCCAAACCUGAAAUCUGAAGUUAUGCUACAGUUGUAGUUAAAAACCUCAUGGGGACAUGAGUAUUUUAGUAGGGGGAGAGUGUAACCCAGUUAGGGUUAUUAUGUUGAGUUAAUGACAGAAUGGGUUAAUGAUGGGUAAAAUAAGCAAGUUAUUAUUGAGUAAAUAAUAUCUAAUUCAUGAGAAGGGUUAAUUUGGAAUACAUAAGAUGGGAGUACAUCAUUUAUGCUUAUGUACAUGUAUUAUUUUGUGUUUCAGUUGAGAACUAUGUUUUAAAGCACUGUUUCUUUAAGAAAUACGGUGAUACUUAAAGUUUGUAUGUAAUGCACUUGCAGAAAAUGUGCUUUUGCCUAGCAAGUUAGUAUUAUUUUUUGCUGAUAGGUUGAUGUUUUAUUUGUUCCCACCCUCACGUGUGAGAGUGUGAUUCUGAUUGGAGGAGAAAAAAAAGGUGAACAGAGAGGUACGCACGAGAGUGUUGUUGAGAUGGUGGAGAAGAAAAUGUACAUGUAAACGCUGUAUAAGUUGUUGAAACUUACAUUUCUUCAAAUCGGAGAGUUUAAGGACAUUCAUGAAAGUGUAUGCACGUUACUCUGCACGAGUAUAAGCCGGUUUUCUUUUGUAGUGUUGAGUUCAGUUGUUAAUGUGAGAAUACACGAUAGAUAAUCGGACAUUCAAGUACACUGGACUGCAUUAAAGUUUAUUUUGUUUCAUCUAACAAGUCUUGCUGGAUCAACAAAGACCCAGAUAGCGUUCUAAAUCCCCGAGUGAUUUAGAAUUCCUCUGGCGCCGUGGGACAUGAUCAGCUCAACAGCGUCAGAGUGAAGUGGCCAUUUGUUGUUUCACGGCCUCAACGAUCUCUAGCAACGUCCAGGCCUGCAACGGGGAGGGGUUGGGACUUGUGAGGUGUGUGUAUGUGCGUGCGCGCACACGUGUCUAUGUGAGUGGCCACUCAAACGUUAAAACCGGUACUGUUUCAACUAUUGUUUGUGAAACGAGUAUUUAUUGAUAUUAUUUGUUUAUUUGAGAUAUUAAGGAAGUGUUGAUCUGUCAUAAUUGGUUAUUGGAAGUGAUUGUAUAUUUUCUUCAAAGGGGAAAAAAUACACAAGACAAGUGUAUGGUUUAAUUUGAAGUUUAUUGAACAUUUGAUAUUUAAACAUUUAUUUAAACAUUUAUUUAUUUUGUUUUACUGUGUAUAAAUAAACCUAAAGGUUAA